rnacentral:rRNA from 1 species
GAUCCUGGCUCAGAUUGAACGCUGGCGGCAGGCCUAACACAUGCAAGUCGAACGGUAACAGAAGAAGCUUGCUUCUUUGCUGACGAGUGGCGGACGGGUGAGUAAUGUCUGGGAAACUGCCUGAUGGAGGGGGAUAACUACUGGAAACGGUAGCUAAUACCGCAUAACGUCGCAAGACCAAAGAGGGGGACCUUCGGGCCUCUUGUCCAUCGGAUGUGCCCAGAUGGGAGUUAGCUAGUAGGUGGGGUAACGG